rnacentral:rRNA from 1 species
UACAGAGGGUGCAAGCAUUGUCCGGAUUUAUUGGGCGUAAAGCGUUUCGUAGGCGGUUUUGCAAGUUACUUUUCAAAGACCAGGGCUUAACCUUGGGGAGGGAAGUAAUACUACAAGACUAGAAAGUUAUCGGGGUUUUCGGAACUUGCGGUGUAGGGGUGAAAUCCGUUGAUAUCGCAAGGAACACCAAGGGCGAAGGCAGAAAACUAGGUAAUCUUUGACGCUGAGGAACGACAGCUAGGGGAGCGAAAGGG